UUUUAUAUUGCCACUAAACUUAAUCAUAUAAAUGAUAUGUUUUUCACCAAUUUUCCAAUACUCUAACUUGUGUUUUCCUCUUAAAUGAUGUAGUGGUCAUUGGGUUCUUGUGGUGGUCGAUCUACAGUUAGGUUUAGCUUAUGAGUUUGACUCUAUGAAGCUACCUAAAGAAAAUCCACGAAAAUUGAAAAUUGUCGAGAUUAUGAUGACGGCUUAUAAAGUAUAUUGGGCGAAUCUCACAGGUAGUGAAUUGAAAUCACAAAGGAAAAAAUUGAAAUUCUUACAAAUGGAGUGUGCUCAACAACAAGGAGGUGUUGAAUGUGGCUACUACAUUAUGAGAUACAUGUAUGAGAUUGUUACUUCUCACUUGGAGUGCAAAGGUGUCUAAGAGGAGGUUCAAGUUCAAGGUCCAAACUGAGCCUUUUCAAUUGCUACAUAAGCCUCACCAAACUCCCCUUCUCCCCUAUCUUCUCAGCUAACCUUCUUCGAACUCCCACCUUGAUGCCACUAUUAUCCACCACCACACUAUCCCUUAAUCAUCACCACAACACCCCAAUUAUCCCCUGCUCCAAUUCACCAAGCUGUUGCGCCCCCUCACAACACCACUCACCUCCAAUACACCAAUCAACAUUACCAACUGCUUUCACCACCUCACACGACCACAACUAGACCCCCACAUCUCACAACCACUUCUCAUCCUUCACUCACGCAUCAACAACACCUGUAAUCACCUUGGCGCAUCAAUUCAGCCAUUCAAACCGAACAAAGCCGCUACACCUUGCAGCCACUCCCUCACCAAACUCCCCUACUCUCACUUCAGCCACAUUAGCAGCAUAUCCAACCUGCCGCACCUCACCAAACCACGACUCCAACCACAGCUGCAGCCACCAUAAUUCGAACCGUCUCCAGGCAUAAGUAGCGCAAACCCAAUCCACCCCAUCUCUCUUCUCGUUGCCCCUAAAUUACAGCAAAGACUUUCAACCUUCACAACGAUCACCACCAGCAGCAAUUGCGCCACAUCUAACCACAAAUUUGCGCAAGCAACGACCAUAAUCAGAGCAUAUCGCAAAUUUAUUGGGUUCGGGCAAACCAUUGAGGAGUUCGGUCGAAGUGCUAAUAGAGUCAGAAACAUUUGAAGUUUUCUAAAUUGAAGAGGUGUGGUCGAACACACCCAUGGUUCGAUCAAACACACCCGUAGUUCGGCCACACCAACCCAUGGUUCGACCAAACCACUUCACGAGCUCUGCUCGUGAUUCUUAAUGAACAUUAAACAGUUUUGAUUUGAUACUUGAUGAUAAAUGUAGCGGAUGAGCGGUGACGAUUUGAUGAUGGUGUUUAAUGGGAUGCAAAGCAUGGGAUUAUUUCCUAUCUCAAGUGCAGCUAGAAAUCGAAGAAGAAAAACAAAGAGAGUCUGAUGGUUUUUCGGGGGGUUUGUGGGUUUUAUUAUUUAAUUUCUUU